CAAUAGCGUAUAUUAAAGUUGUUGCAGUUAGAACGCUCGUAGUCGGAUUUCGGGGCGGGCCGACCGGUCUGCCGAUGGGUAUGCACUGGUCGGCGCGUCCUUCCUUCCGGAGACCGUCCCUACUCUUAACUGAGCGGGGGCGGGAGACGGGACUUUUACUUUGAAAAAAUCAGAGUGUUUCAAGCAGGCAGCUCGCUCUUGCAUGGAUUAGCAUGGGAUAAUGAAAUAGGACUUUGGUGCUAUUUUGUUGGUUUCGAACACCGAAGUAAUGAUGAGAAGGGACAGUCAGGGGCACUCGUAUUCCGCCGAGAGAGGUGAAAUUCUCAGACCAGCGGAAGACGAACCACUGCGAAAGCAUUUGCCAGGGAUGUUUUCACUNA
rnacentral:rRNA from 1 species